GACAGAGGUGCCGAGCGUUAGGCGGAAUCACUGGGCUUAAAGCGUGUGUAGGCGGGCGGGCAAGUACCUUGUGAAAUCCCACGGCUCAACCGUGGAACUGCUGGGUAUACUGCUCGUCUUGAGCCAAUCAGGGGCGAGCGGAACAGACGGUGGAGCGGUGAAAUGCGUAGAUAUCGGAAGGAACACCAGUGGCGAAAGCGGCUUCCUGGUCCGACACCGACGUUCAGGCACGAAAGCGUGGGGAGCAAACAGG
rnacentral:rRNA from 1 species